rnacentral:rRNA from 1 species
GAUGAACGCUGGCGGCGUGCCUAAUACAUGCAAGUCGAGCGAACAGAUGAGGAGCUUGCUCCUCUGACGUUAGCGGCGGACGGGUGAGUAACACGUGGAUAACCGACCUAUAAGACUGGGAUAACUUCGGGAAACCGGAGCUAAUACCGGAUAAUAUAUUGAACCGCAUGGUUCAUUAGUGAAAGACGGUUUUGCUGUCACUUAUAGAUGGUUCCGGGCCGCAUUAGCUAGUUGGUAGGGUAACGGCUUACCAAGGCGACGAUGCGUAGCCGAUCUGAGAGGAUGAUCAGUCACACUGGAACUGAGACACGGUCCAGACUCCUACGGGAGGCAGCAGUGGGGAAUCUUCCGCAAUGGGCGAAAGCCUGACGGAGCAACGCCGCGUGAGUGAUGAAGGUCUUCGGAUCGUAAAGCUCUGUUAGUAGGGAAGAACAAAAGUAUAAGUAAAUAUGCCUGUCUUGACGGUACCUAAACAGAAAGCCACGGCUAACUACGUG